rnacentral:rRNA from 1 species
UACGGGGGGGGCAAGCGUUGUUCGGAAUUACUGGGCGUAAAGGGCUCGUAGGCGGCCAACUAAGUCGGACGUGAAAUCCCCAGGCUCAACCUGGGAACUGCAUCCGAUACUGGAUGGCUUGAAUUCGGGAGAGGGAUGCAGAAUUCCAGGUGUAGCGGUGAAAUGCGUAGAUAUCUGGAGGAAUACCGGUGGCGAAGGCGGCAUCCUGGACCGACAUUGACGCUGAGGAGCGAAAGCCAGGGGAGCAAACGGGG